rnacentral:lncRNA from 1 species
UUUCUUGAACCUUGAUCAUUAAAGCAUUAAUCCAAUAUUUCUUACACUUCCAUACACAAGAUAAUACAAACCAUGUUCAUUUCAAAAACCAAAAUUAUAUUACAUAAUUAUUAUAACCAAAACACAAUAAACCUUGUCCAUUCUCAUUACAACCAGAAACCAACUCACAUGUUGACAUACACAAUACAAUGACCAAAGUACAUAACCUAAGCAUUACCAUAUAACCGGAAUCAACCACAUUCUUCCAAACAAUAUUGUUGUAUACCAUCAUUAGAAA